GCCGGGUGUGGUGGUGCAUGCCUGUAAUCCCAGCUACUCAGGAGGCUGAGGCAGGAGAAUCGCUUGAACCCAAGAGGCAGAGGUUGCAGUGAGCAGAGAUUGCACCACUGUACUCCAGCCUGGGUGACAGAGUGAGAUUCUGCUUCAA
rnacentral:SRP_RNA from 1 species